rnacentral:rRNA from 1 species
UACGGCGGGUGCUAGCGUUGCUCGGAAUCACUGGGCGUAAAGGGUGCGUAGGCGGGUCUUUAAGUCAGGGGUGAAAUCCUGGAGCUCAACUCCAGAACUGCCUUUGAUACUGAGGAUCUUGAGUUCGGGAGAGGUGAGUGGAACUGCGAGUGUAGAGGUGAAAUUCGUAGAUAUUCGCAAGAACACCAGUGGCGAAGGCGGCUCACUGGCCCGAUACUGACGCUGAGGCACGAAAGCGUGGGGAGCAAACAGG